rnacentral:lncRNA from 1 species
CUGGUGUGCAACGGGCUGGCGUGCACCGGCUGCGGGUGUGCACGGGCUGCGGGUGUGCAACGGCCUGGUGUGCACUGGCUGCGAGUGUGCAACAGCCUGGUGUGCACUGGCCGCGAGUGUGCACUGGCCUGGUGUGCAACGGCCUGGCGUGCACCGGCUGCGGGUGUGCACGGGCUGCAGGUGUGCAAUGGCCUGGUGUGCAACAGCCCGGCAUGCAACAGCCUGGUGUGCACGGGCUGCGGGUGUGGACGGGCUGCGGGUGUGCAAUGGCCUGGCGUGCACCAGCUGCGGGUGUGCACUGGCCUGGUGUGCAACAGCCCGGUGUGCAACAGCCUGGUGUGCAUGGGCUGCGGGUGUGCACGGGCUGUGGGUGUGCAACGGCCUGGUGUGCACGGGCUGCAGGUGUGCACUGGCCUGGUGUGCAACAGCCAGUGUACACAGGCUGCAGUGUGCACGGGCUGUGGGUGUGCAACGGCCUGGUGUGCACGGGCUGCAGGUGUGCACUGGCCUGGUGUGCAACAGCCAGCAUGCACAGGCUGCAGUGUGCACAGGAUGUGGGCGUGCAAUGGCCAGCGUGCACCAGCCUGGUGUGCAACAGCCAGCGUGCACAGGCUGCAGUGUGCACGGGCUGUGGGUGUGCAUGGGCCGAUGUGCAACAGCCUGGCGUGCGCUGGUUGCGAGCGUGCAUGGGCUGUGGGUGUGCAGAGGCCAACGUGCACACGGCCUGGUGUGCACAGGCUACAGGCGUGCACAGAUGGUGUGCUACAGCUCUUGUGCACUCACAGUCCAUGUGUGUGCAUGGCCCUCGUGUGUGCAUGGCCUGUGCACACGCGCAGCCCUCGUGCACGCGUGGUCCUCGUGUGCACACAGUCCCUGUGUGUUCCUGUGCACACUUGGUCCUCUUGCACACACGGCCCUGGUGCACACGCAGCCAUCACGUGCACACGCAGCCCUCGUGCACACGCAGCCCUCGUGCACGCACAGCCCUCGUGCACGCACAGCCGUAUGUGCUCAUUUGUGCUGGUGCACACGCAGCCCCUGUGCACGCACGGCCCUUGUGCACCUGCAGCUCUUGUGCACACGCAGCUCUUGUGCACACAGAGCCAUAUGUGCUCCUGGGGCGUUUGCACGCACAGCCCUUGUGCACCUGCGGCUCUCGUGCACACGCAGCCCUCGUGCACGCCCAGCUAUAUGUGCUCACGGGCUGUUUGUACGCACAACCCUUGUGCACACGCAGCCCUGGUGCACACGCAGCUCUUGUGCACGCACGGCCCUGGGGCACACGCGGCGCUGGUGCACACACGGCCACGUGUGCUCCUGGGCUCUCGUGCACACACGGCCCUGGGGCACACGCAGCCCUCGUGCACAUGCAGCGCUUGUGCACACACGGCCACGUGUGCUGCGGGGCCCUUGUGCACACGCAGCCCUUG